rnacentral:misc_RNA from 1 species
GUGAAUCAUCAAAUCUUUGAACGCAAAUUGCGCCUUCUUUCGGGAGGCAUGUCUGUUUGAGGGCACCAUUUAACAAAUAAUGUGUGGGUCGCUAUGCGGCGUGCAGAGGUUGAUGAGCUUUUCUGAAUAAUCAGGUUUUUUUGGUGGCGCAUAAUGAACAGCGUGGGCUUUUUCUUUCGAUUCUCGUGUAGUUAGUAAAUUUUUGACGCUUGGGUUGAGAAGAAGUGCGUGUCGCGCAAUGGGUGGGGUGAAUUUAUCCCUGAA